rnacentral:rRNA from 1 species
CUGGCUCAGGAUGAACGCUGGCGGCGUGCCUAACACAUGCAAGUCGAGCGGAAAUACCAAAUGUACUCGUACAGGCGGUAUUUAGCGGCGGACGGGUGAGUAACACGUGAGCAACCUGCCUUUUGCUGGGGAAUAACAUUGGGAAACCAGUGCUAAUACCGCAUAACGUCCAUGGGGGACAUCCCUUGUGGACUAAAGGAGAAAUCCGGCAGAAGAUGGGCUCGCGUCCGAUUAGUUAGUUGGCGGGGUAACGGCCCACCAAGACCGCGAUCGGUAGCCGAACUGAGAGGUUGAUCGGCCACAUUGGGACUGAGACACGGCCCAGACUCCUACGGGAGGCAGCAGUGGGGAAUAUUGGGCAAUGGGGGAAACCCUGAACCCCAGCAACGCCGCGUGAAGGACGAAGGCCUUCGGGUUGUAAACUUCUUUGAUCAGGGACGAAAGCAAUGACGGUACCUGAAGAACAAGCCACGGCUAACUACGUGCCAGCCGCUGC